rnacentral:rRNA from 1 species
AAAACUUUCAACAACGGAUCUCUUGGCUCUGGCAUCGAUGAAGAACGCAGCGAAAUGCGAUAAGUAAUGUGAAUUGCAGAAUUCAGUGAAUCAUCGAAUCUUUGAACGCACAUUGCGCCCGCCAGUAUUCUGGCGGGCAUGCCUGUUCGAGCGUCAUUACAACCCUCAGGCCCCCGGGCCUGGCGUUGGGGAUCGGCGGAAGCCCCCUGCGGGCACAACGCCGUCCCCCAAAUACAGUGGCGGUCCCGCCGCAGCUUCCAUUGCGUAGUAGCUAACACCUCGCAACUGGAGAGCGGCGCGGCCACGCCGUAAAACACCCAACUUCUGAAUGUUGACCUCGAAUCAGGUAGGAAUACCCGCUGAACUUAAGCAUAUCAAUAAGCGGAGGAAAAGAAACCAACAGGGAUUGCCCCAGUAACGGCGAGUGAAGCGGCAACAGCUCAAAUUUGAAAUCUGGCUCUCGGGCCCGAGUUGUAAUUUGUAGAGGAUGCUUUUGGUGAGGUGCCUUCCGAGUUCCCUGGAACGGGACGCCAUAGAGGGUGAGAGCCCCGUCUGGUUGGACACCGAUCCUCUGUAAAGCUCCUUCGACGAGUCGAGUAGUUUGGGAAUGCUGCUCUAAAUGGGAGGUAUAUGUCUUCUAAAGCUAAAUACCGGCCAGAGACCGAUAGCGCACAAGUAGAGUGAUCGAAAGAUGAAAAGAACUUUGAAAAGAGAGUUAAAAAGUACGUGAAAUUGUUGAAGGGGAAGCGCUUGUGACCAGACUUGGGCUUGGUUGAUCAUCCGGGGUUCUCCCCGGUGCACUCUUCCGGCUCAGGCCAGCAUCAGUUCGCCCUGGGGGAUAAAGGCUUCGGGAAUGUGGCUCUCUCCGGGGAGUGUUAUAGCCCGCUGCGUAAUACCCUGUGGCGGACUGAGGUUCGCGCAUUCGCAAGGAUGCUGGCGUAAUGGUCAUCAGUGACCCGUCUUGAAACACGGACC